rnacentral:misc_RNA from 1 species
UAGGGAGACCUAAUCCAUUUAGAAAUCGAAAACAAUGAAAAUUGUCAAUAGAAACUAAAUUGGUCUAACCUAGGUCGUUCGAGAUUGGUAGACAUCUUUCAAAGUAUUAUUCGGCUUCGUUCAAAACCAUAUAUAAUAAAUGGAAAAAGGCAGCACCUAAUUGUCAAAGUUAGACUGCUGGAUGAAGUUCCAGCCAGAACCUUGAAAACUGCAUAAGAGAACAAGAAAAAGCAGGCAGACACAGACAUUUAGAUGGAUGUGGAAGCAAAAGAAAUUGU